CUGUUUAUCAAAAACAUAGUCUUAGGAAAAUUUAUCUAAGAUUAAACCUGCCCAAUGUUUAUUUAUGAAUGGCCGCGGUACCUUGACCGUGCUAAGGUAGCGCAAUAAAUUGGCCUUUAAAUGAGGCCACGUAUGAAUGGAAUCACGGGGUUUAGCUGUCUCUGGAACUAAUUUAUUGAAAUUACUAUGUAGGUGAAAAAGCCUACUUCAAGAAAAAGGACGAGAAGACCCUUAGAGCUUUACUAAAGUUGAGAAUUUUUAUUCUUAAGUCAGUUCUGUUGGGGCAACAUAGGAACACUGAAAUUUCCUUAAAUUCAAUCCACCGAUGUUUAUAAAUUUGAAUAAGCUACCUUAGGGAUAACAGCAAAAUUUUAUAAAUUAGUUUGUGACCUCGAUGUUGGACUAGGAAACUGAUAGGCUAGCCGCUUAUUAGAAAAGCUCUGUUCGAACUAUAAUUUCCUACGUGAUCUGAGUUCAGACCG
rnacentral:rRNA from 1 species